AGUGAACGCUGGCGGUAGGCCUAACACAUGCAAGUCGAACGGCAGCACAGUAAGAGCUUGCUCUUACGGGUGGCGAGUGGCGGACGGGUGAGGAAUACAUCGGAAUCUACUUUUUCGUGGGGGAUAACGUAGGGAAACUUACGCUAAUACCGCAUACGACCUACGGGUGAAAGCAGGGGAUCUUCGGACCUUUCGCGAUUGAAUGAGCCGAUAUCGGAUUAGCUAGUUGGCGGGGUAAAGGCCCACCAAGGCGACGAUCCGUAGCUGGUCUGAGAGGAUGAUCAGCCACACUGGAACUGAGACACGGUCCAGACUCCUACGGGAGGCAGCAGUGGGGAAUAUUGGAGAAUGGGCGCAAGCCUGAUCCAGCCAUACCGCGUGGGUGAAGAAGGCCUUCGGGUUGUAAAGCCCUUUUGUUGGGAAAGAAAAGCAGCAGGUUAAUACCCCGCUGUUCUGACGGUACCCAAAGAAUAAGCACCGGCUAACUUCGUG
rnacentral:rRNA from 1 species